UACGUAGGGGGCAAGCGUUGUCCGGAUUUAUUGGGCGUAAAGAGCGUGUAGGCGGCUAGGUAGGUCCGUUGUGAAAACUCGAGGCUCAACCUCGAGACGCCGAUGGAAACCAUCUGGCUAGAGUCCGGAAGAGGAGAGUGGAAUUCCUGGUGUAGCGGUGAAAUGCGCAGAUAUCAGGAGGAACACCGGUGGCGAAGGCGGGUCUCUGGGCCGUAACUGACGCUGAGGAGCGAAAGCGUGGGGAGCGAACAGG
rnacentral:rRNA from 1 species